CAAGGGAGCUAUACCGGGAGUGCUCCACCUGUUCCCAUUCCGAACACAGAAGUGAAAUCUCCCAAGGCCGAUGAUAGUCCUUCGGGGCGAAAGUAGGUAGCUCUCUUAC
rnacentral:rRNA from 1 species